UAUAUAUUUGUUCGUUUACCCACGUUAUAUUUUACUUGAGUGUAUUGGAGCCAACACCACAGCACACAGUGUGAGUGAUUCUUCGUUUCGGUAUUGCGAGGGCCCCGCGGCGUCUCACGACGGCAACCGACGGUAAAAGACAACCUCCACCUUCUUUACACGGGAAUAAAACACCACAACUUAUAUUAUAUUUAAUAUCACGACACUUUGCGCGACUUAUAUUUCCCGCAAAUACUAUUACGCGUAAUUAUGCUGGUCAUUAAUUUAACUUAAAUUGCAUAUUUUAUAUCUCCAUAUAAAAUAGCCUCAUAUAUCGGCCAUUUUAUUUGUAAACUACUAAAAAACAAUAUUACCAAUAUAACAACAUUUUUGGAGGGAGCAGUGUGGCUUUAGGUGGCCGCGACAUAAAGUCCGGGGGGAGAAAACUGAUUCAGCGAACCGUGAAGGCGAUACCGGGUCGUCAUGGGCAUCAAACAGCAUCAGCAUCAGCAACGGCAACGACAGAAAUAGUCUCUACCCUACAACUAUAGAGCACAAUAAUACUAUAAACUUGCCCCUCGUAUUUCUCCAAUCCCGAUGGGACGAUUUGUAUGUAUCAAUUACCCUGCGGGUUUAAAAAGUAUCAGUUGAAUAUAUCAAAUAUUGUGUGAUACUCAAAUUUUUAAAUGACUCACGGCUUUAAUGAUUGAUUUCAAAUACUUGUUCAGAUACUGGUAAUAAAAAAUCCGCGGGUGGUAUGAAUGAUAUAAGGUAACGUCUGACCUUGGAUAGACCUCGUUGUCGUACCUGUAAAUAAAAAAAAAAAAAAAAGAAGAAGCUGAACUCGAGUUUGACUGUAGUCGUAUUUAAAUUUUGAAAGUUUUAAACGCAUUGGUAAUCAUUAGAUUGUACAUGUAAAUAAAAAAAGAGACGAAAUGAAUGUAAUCAUUCGGCGACUUUAAUUAAAAGAUGAUUAUAUAAUGAUGAGGAAUGUCAGUUAACUGUUAUAGCGAUGGUGCGAAGGUGAGAGUGUAUAUUGAAUAUUGAGCGUACUAUUGAAAAAAGUUGCAGAACGGAGCUAUUGUGAUGAGAAAGCUUGAGAUAACGACGGAUAUGUCCUGAACUACCUGUUCAUCGUCAAUUAUUUAUCCUUUUUUCUAUUUCUCCCUUCUCUCAUUUAUUUCUCUUAUUACUGUUACUUUUUUUAUGCACACAUUUAUAACACUGUAAAAUUAGCAGAGUAAAUUUGGAGCGGUUGACUGUUUAUUUAUUUCAUACCCCGGAGUAAAAUUCACUCCGAAGGGGAUUUUAGUUUAAUAUUAAAAUUUCGAAUCGGAGUGAAUGCGGAUUCAAAUAAAAUCUAGAUUACUCCGAAAUAACUCCGCUGGAGAAAAACUCCGUAUUUACUCCGCGUGCAAAUUGAUUUUUUUUUAACUCUGGAACUCCGAGUGACGGACUGAAUUCGGAGUAAAUGCGGACCGAAUGUCUGUGUAUUUAUUUAAUGCCUUUGGAAUAAAAUUCACUCCGAAGGGGAGUUUAUUAUAAAUGUGACACUCCGAAUUGGAGUGAAUGCGGAUUUAAAUAAAAUUCAGAUCACUCCGAAAUCACUCCGCUAAAAAAACUCCGUAUUUAUUCCAAAUGCGAAGUGAUUUUUUAUAAAACUCCGGAACUCCGAGUCAGAGUGAAUGCGGAUUUAAAUAAAAUCCAAAUCACUUCGAAAUCACUCAGCUGGAGAAAAACACUUCGUAUUUACUCCGCAUGCAGGUUGAUUUUUUUAAACUCCGGAAUUCCGAGUGACGGAGUGAUUUCGGGUUUAAAUCAAAUCCGUAAUUACUCCGAAUUCACUCCCGAUUUUUUACUGUAUAAAUCAUAGUUGAAUUAUUAAAAGUAUAAUAAGUAUAUACAUUUCAUAACGUUAAUAAUUCUGAUGAAUUCAACGCGCUUUGAUCUAGAACACUUAGGAGUAACUUUGAUGCCUAUGUAAAUAAUUUAUACGCAGUUUUUUUUUUACAUUACGUCCCCUUGUCACUUGAUAAUUUCAGAUGUAACGCAUCUUGAUUUUCUAUGUGAUAUUUUCUUUCUUCAUUUUUUUUUUUUUUUUUUUUUUUUUUGUUAUUGAUCUGGAUUAAUAUGGAUAAUAGGCAGAAUAGAAGCCAUGAGCUGAUGAACAUCAGGGCAAGUAGAAGAGGGUGUCAUGCAUGGCUCGUCGCAUCAUCCUGUACGUUAUUCCGCUGGUAAUGCAAGCACAUUACGAUCUUCAUGGUCAAUAUAAUUCUCAACCAAAAUUAGUAUUGAAUUGCCAUGUUGGACACACUAGUUUAUUGAUGGAUACUUUAGAUACACAUUCAACUGACAAUACAUUAAAUCCGAUACACAAUUGAGCUAAAUUUUCGGUUGAUAAUUUCAUGUACUUCAAUUCAACAUUGAACCGAAAAAUACUGAUAGAUUAUUUGUUGAAUUAAAUAGGCGUAAAUAUUGGCAAAAAAAACCGAUAUACUGUGAAAAAUUUGCGGAGUAAAUGCAGACUGGAUAACUGUGUAUUUAAUUAAUGCCC